UUGUUAUGCAUACUAGUUUAACAUGUACAUAUGUAAUAGGAAAAUCGAUCUCUGUAAGAUGAGAUUCAGUACAUGCGCAGCUGCUUUUUCAUUCUCCUUCCACAAACUACGCAAUCUGUAUUGUGCCUGGUUAAGUUGAAAUAAAAAAUAAUGGAUGAAUUUCGGGAUUUCCACUAAAAACAAUAUUCGAGACAAAUAUUAGAAAAGAAAUGGAGAAACAAAAGUGAAAUACUUGGUAUUACAUCCACAUAAAAGUAAAAGAGGACACUGAACCUAAAAAUCUUCUACACAGUUACUUAUAAUAUUGUUAGUUGGCAGUAUAAGUACAGUUUGCUGUUAUGAAACCAGCUUCAAUUCCGACGAUGUCUACAAAAUUUUAAAAAAAGGAAGAUUAAAAA